CCUACGGGAGGCAGCAGUGAGGAAUAUUGGUCAAUGGACGAGAGUCUGAACCAGCCAAGUAGCGUGAAGGAUGACUGCCCUAUGGGUUGUAAACUUCUUUUAUAUGGGAAUAAAAUGUUCCACGUGUGGGAUUUUGUAUGUACCAUAUGAAUAAGGCUCGGCUAACUCCGUGCCAGCAGCCGCGGUAAUACGGAGGAUCCGAGCGUUAUCCGGAUUUAUUGGGUUUAAAGGGAGCGUAGGUGGAUUGUUAAGUCAGUUGUGAAAGUUUGCGGCUCAACCGUAAAAUUGCAGUUGAAACUGGCAGUCUUGAGUACAGGAGAGGUGGGCGGAAUUCGUGGUGUAGCGGUGAAAUGCUUAGAUAUCACGAAGAACUCCGAUUGCGAAGGCAGUUCACUGGACUGCAACUGACACUGAGGCUCGAAAGUGUGGGUAUCAAACAGGAUUAGAUACCCCAGUAGUC
rnacentral:rRNA from 1 species